rnacentral:rRNA from 1 species
GGAGGGUGCAAGCGUUAAUCGGAAUUACUGGGCGUAAAGCGUACGUAGGCGGCGUGUUAAGCAAGAUGUGAAAGCCCCGGGCUCAACCUGGGAAUUGCAUUUUGAACUGGCAUGCUAGAGUCCUGAAGAGGGUGGUAGAAUUUCCAGUGUAGCGGUGAAAUGCGUAGAUAUUGGAAGGAAUACCGGUGGCGAAGGCGGCCACCUGGUCAGAGACUGACGCUGAGGUACGAAAGCGUGGGGAGCAAACAGGAUUAGAUACCCUGGUAGUCCACGCCGUAAACGAUGUCAACUAGUUGUUCGUGUCAUUAAGACGUGAGUAACGCAGCUAACGCACUAAGUUGACCGCCUGGGGAGUACGGCCGCAAGGUUAAAACUCAAAUGAAUUGACGGGGGCCCGCACAAGCGGUGGAGCAUGUGGUUUAAUUCGAUGCAACGCGAAGAACCUUACCAUCCCUUGACAUCCAGUGAAUUUUUCAGAGAUGAAUUAGUGCCUUCGGGAACACUGAGACAGGUGCUGCAUGGCUGUCGUCAGCUCGUGUUGUGAGAUGUUGGGUUAAGUCCCGCAACGAGCGCAACCCUUAUCCUUAGUUGCCAGCACGUAAUGGUGGGAACUCUGGGGAGACUGCCGGUGAUAAACCGGAGGAAGGUGGGGGACGACGUCAAGUCAUCAUGGCCCUUACGGGAUGGGCUACACACGUGCUACAAUGGCGCAUACAAAGGGCAGCAAGCCAGCGAUGGUUAGCGAAUCUCAUAAAGUGCGUCGUAGUCCGGAUCGAAGUCUGCAACUCGACUCCGUGAAGUCGGAAUCGCUAGUAAUCGUGGAUCAGAAUGCCACGGUGAAUACGUUCCCGGGCCUUGUACACACCGCCCGU